AAUCGGGUACGCCUGCUUGAUGAGGUCC
rnacentral:sRNA from 1 species